ACAGGAGUUCACAGCUGUGGAGGGAGACAGAACCAUCGUGUUCAACAAUGUGAGCGACCAGGUGAAGGAGUGUUGUCACAGUCAUGUUCUGUAUCGUCACAGGACUCGUGUGGUGUCAGCUGAUCUCACACUGAGUCUCAGGUUGUAUCUUAUGUAUAUUAAUAACUGGGAGCAUAAAGUCAAGUACAAGUACUUUGGUUUAUUCUAGUUUGGUGCAGCACUUGAGUAAAUGUACUUAGUGAUUUAAACGUGAGGCUCACAGACUAACGUGUGACGCCGAGUGAGGCCGGCUGUUCGAGCCCAGUGUGUGUUCAGGUGUGUCUCACCGCUCAGUCACUGUGGUGCAGUUGAUGGUCCCGUCAGCAGGUUCAGGGAACUGCUCUUCACAGCUGGGGGGCAAAGAGCAGAGGGUCAGGACUGUUCUCUGGGCCUGACUCCUUCACAUCAACACACAGGUCUGACAUUCAGGACGAGGUCUCACCUGCUGGAGCUGAACUCAGGAAGCACUUCAUCAGAAGAUCCGCCGGAGGAAUAACAUAAACCUGGGAUGGUGUCAUUAGAUGAGCCUGGACAGUUUGAGGAGAGAAGGAGUCAGAAGAAGAAAAGUCAGACUGGAUGAACAUUUAUCUGUCAACCAGCGAUUCAACCAGCCGCUGUACGACCACACCUGAAGAUGUAGACAGACCGUCAGAACACUGCGGGUCAAAGGUCAAAGUCGAAAUCCUUCAGAAUAAAAACGAUUUCAUCAGACGUCAGUGAGACGUCAAAGAGCUGCAGACGCCUCAGGGUCAGAGGAGAUCCUCCAUGACAGUCUCCAUGUCCGAUCAGUCUAAGCAUCUUCACCAGUGAGGAACUGAAUACUGAUGAUGGUCUGAUUUCUGUUCACUGGCCCAUAAAGUCAAAUCAGUUCACAUGUGAAUCAACCCGUCCCAACAAACAGCUCAGUGGCGACUCAGGUGUAUGACAGGUGCUCAGCGUCACAUGGGCCCGGCUGGUGUCGUGGAGGAAAAGCUUCUCUGGACUUUGUCUCUACCUGUCUUGUGGAUCUGUGCGGUGGAGCCAUCGAAGAAGACAGAGGUGGUGUAGUUGGAGAGGAGGAACGUGGCGGUGACUCCGGUCUGGUUCUUGGAGACGUCCACACCGUGAAGAGACAGAGGCAAGCUGCCGAGGCUCAGCGGCGCGUCGUCCACCUGCGUCACAGCGGAGGACAACGCUGGUUCAACCACGUUGUUCAACACUUCAGUCCACUGGACACUCAAGACUCACUGAUCCGUCCACCAGCACCAGCUGUCGACCAAACAGCCAACUACUGAGUGAAGUUCAGCCGGUAACUGGAUCAUGGACAUGAGUCUUGAUUUAGCUCGGCUGCAGAAGGUAACAGGGUUCUAUUAGUUUCUUGUUCUGAGCGUUUGAUGAGUGUAAUUCUAACGCUUUAGAAUAACCCACUACAUGUUAGCAGUCAGGCAGACAAACGCAUUAACAUUUGCAACAGUUAACAUCUGUGUAUAUGAAGUAAUAAACCAGAGGAACCAAAUUUGGGCUUUUAUGAAAAAGUUCAAAUGAAGUUUAUCUACAUUUCACCAACACCACCAUCUUUCCUGGACCUGAAGGUCGUCACAGGCCGAAGGAGACGGUCACAGCGAGAGGACAGAGAGCGAGUGAACACACAAGGACAGAUGUUUUCUUCCUCCUACAGAGGAGACCACGACAGUCCAGAUGUUUUGUACGAAGCAGUCGACUGCGUUCGGAGCAGACAGGACGUCAGAGGAGAGGAGGGCGGUGGACCGUGCACUGCCGCCCUCUACAGGCCAGAAAGAGGAGUGCACUCCUUUGCUUUAAUUAAAGGGGCAGUCCACCCAAAACCAAACACAUAACCACCACAUGAUGUUUGUUGUAGACACGUUGAUGAAACCAGAAAGACAAAAGAGGGAUGGUUAAUGCACAGUGAUCCACUGAUGAUCUCCACCAACCAGGAGGACGUCAGCUCCACUCUCUCUGUGGCUGAGGGUGGUUUACCUGAAGCCUCAGGCCUGGUCCCAGGGUGAUGUUGACACCCGGCCCGUCCAAACGCAGGAUCACUUUGUCCAACAGACUGAAGUCUUUACGGCGUCGGUCCCGGAAGACGGCCAGCAGCUCGACGCCCGACUCUGACAA